GGGUGUGUGUGUAUGGGUGUGUGUGUGUGUGUGAGAGAGAGAGAGAGAGAGAGAAUCAGCUCCAAAAGCUCUGUUUAUUGCCAGAGAGUCCACCUGCUUCCCCCAAGUCCAAGUCCAGCUUCUAGGAAAAGGACCCAGAGGUUCAGCAAGGCUGCGCUCUGCUCCAGCAAGGAGUUGGGGUUUUCCACUCGGACUCUGUUGACGUCUUCCACGCUGAACUGCAGCUCCCGGGCCAACUCUGCAAGCAAAGGGCCAGAGCCAAGGAGACGAUGAGAAUGAGCCUCUCAGCAAGGUCACAGAGCUGUGAGUCUGGCCAGGAGGGCGCUGAGCCCGCCGGUUCCCAUCCCAGUGCUGCUUGCACCAACCCAGGACGCCACUCACAUGCCUCCCAGGACCAGUUACAACAGAAAAGCAUCUCUGUACCUAUGUUUCUUCGGGGACAGGCACUGUUGACAUUUAAAAUGAAAAUCGCGUUCUUCUCAUCUGAACGCAAGGCACUAUCAUAGUAGCUUUCCCUAUUAUUUUUAUUGUUAUUUCUUGCAAGUGCUUUAGAAGGGAAAACAGCAGUAGAGUCUAAUUUCAAAGAUGGAGACCAGGGAGAAAGUGAUAAUGAGCGUCAGAAGAUGCAGAUCCAACAGGCACGUGCACAUACAUGCACACUCACACUUGCCUACACACACACUCCUCCACACACACACACACACACCUGCAUAUGCUCACACGUGCAUACACACAUCCCACAUCCGUGCACACUUCCACACGCACACACACACAGCUAGCAGUCCCUGAACUUCUGAGCCCACCCCACUGCCCUGCGGUACGUGGCUGCUAAGGGUUUCUGACCCCUCAUGUAGAUGCUAACAAAAGAAAGAGAAGGGGGAGGAAGAGGAGCAUUCCCUGUGUACAGCACGCUGCUCAGGAGCUCUCACUGCCUUUCUCCCCCUCACUUCAUCAAAGAGCCACCCCUGAGCCCGCAGGGCUUCUGAGACUUCAGCCACAGCAGAGCUUUCAAGUGCAACAAGCCAAGACGCCCUGCCCUUCCCUCCUCUUCCUCCACAGAACACAACGUGCAGAGGGAGGUU